GUGCAGGAGUCAGUCCCCAUCAGGACACAGCAUGGACAUGAGGGCCCCCACUCAACUCCUGGGGCUUCUGCUGCUCUGGCUCCCAGGUGCCAGAUGUGACAUACAGAUGACCCAGUCUCCAUCUUCCCUGGCUGCAUCUCUAGGAGACACAGUCACCAUCACUUGCCAGGCCAGUCAGGGCAUUAGCAAUUAUUUAAGCUGGUAUCAGCAGAAACCAGGGCAAUCCCCUAAGAUUCUGAUCUAUGGGGCAUCUAAUUUGGAAACUGGGGUCCCAUCAAGGUUCAGUGGCAGUGGGUCUGGGACAGAUUUCACCCUCACCAUCAGCAGCCUGCAGCCUGAAGAUUUUGCAACUUACUACUGUCUACAAUCUUAUAAUUACCCUCCCACAGUGUUACAAGCCCUAACAGAAACCCCCCAGGGAAGGAGACAUGCUAUCAACAUUCCCAUGUAA